rnacentral:rRNA from 1 species
CCUACGGGAGUCAGCAGUGGGGAAUAUUGCACAAUGGGGGAAACCCUGAUGCAGCGACGCCGCGUGAGCGAUGAAGUAUUUCGGUAUGUAAAGCUCUAUCAGCAGGGAAGAAAAUGACGGUACCUGACUAAGAAGCCCCGGCUAACUACGUGCCAGCAGCCGCGGUAAUACGUAGGGGGCAAGCGUUAUCCGGAUUUACUGGAUGUAAAGGGAGCGUAGACGGUCCUGCAAGCCAGAUGUGAAUGCCUGGGGCUCAACCCCGGGACUGCAUUUGGAACUGUAAGGCUAGAGGGUCGGAGAGGCAGGCGGAAUUCCUAGUGUAGCGGUGAAAUGCGUAGAUAUUAGGAGGAACACCAGUGGCGAAGGCGGCCUGCUGGACGAUGACUGACGUUGAGGCUCGAAAGCGUGGGGAGCAAACAGGAGUAGAUACCCCUGUAGUC